rnacentral:misc_RNA from 1 species
AUCUAUACCUAUCUUCUUAGCUUCACAGUUCAAUUCCUUAAUAAAAAAAUAUAGAAAAACAUACAGAAGUAUAAGGAUGUUACCAUAUCUUUGUGCUUCAUACAAAUACCAUUUCGAUUAAACUUUCUGUUUCUUUGCUACCUAAUUAUGAACUAUCCUUAUGCAUCAAUUCCUUAGGCAUAUGACAGCAUAUUUUCUUACCUCAAAUUUCAACUGCAACCACUGAUAUCGGCCUAAA